rfam:Gossypium hirsutum cultivar TM-1 unplaced genomic scaffold scaffold4467.1, whole genome shotgun sequence
AAUAGGAGAAUGACAAAUUAGAUUUUUUCUCUUGAUUUUCAGAUUUUUCCUCCUCAAAAAAUUUAAAUCGAACUAAAAAUGCUAAAAAUCAGGAGGAAAAAUCUGGUUUGUAAUUCUCAUAUU